GACAUAUGGAGGUUCCCACGCUAGGGGUCCUGUUGGAGCUACAGCUGCCAGUCUAUACGGCAGCCACAGCAACCCAGGAUCUGAGCUGCGUCAGCGACCUACACCACAGCUCACAGCAAUGCUGGAUCCUUAACCCACUGAGCGAGGCCAGGGAUCGAACCCGAAACCUCAUGGUUCCUAGUCCGAUUUGUUUCCAAUACACCACAAAGGGAACUCCGCUGUGAGGAUUCUUUAUUAGAGCACCUGGAUGGAUGGUAAAGCCAUUAAAAGAGGGAGAAAUUUUGAGGAGACCAGGAAGGUGAUAGGUUCCCCUCGAGACCCCGGGACAGGGCACUGUCUGCCAGGUGGACAUGGUCACUGGCAGUUAGAGUCACACCUAUGGUAAAAUAGAGGGGACUCACACUGAAGACAUGGGACGUCAGCUUCUCUGAGAAGAAGAGACAGAGUACAGAGGCAGCAUGGGCAGAGGAAGGUUAGGGACUCAGAGAGGACAGCAGAAUCUGGGUGGUGGACUCAGACUAACACGCAGAGACCAUAGAGCAGGAUGGGACUGGCACUGGAAGAGGCCACUGGUGCACUGCUUUCCUCCCCAAACCCCUGUUUCGAGCUAAUUCCUCAUCACCCUUUAAAAUUAUUUUGGGGUUCGCUUUGCCGUCCUAGCCUGGCUAUGCCUCCUCAUCUUUAAGACCUAUUUAUACUGACACCUCCUACAGCAAGCCUUCCCAACCAGCUCCACUGAGCCUCUGUUUUCUGUUUACAUGCCCCCCCUCAGCACCCCUACCCCUGCACCGUCAUAGAUCUUGUUUCCUGCAAGGGUCCAAGCACCUGGGGCAGGGGAUCCCCACAGUGCCUGAUCGCUAGGUGCUGACUAACUGGAUGUUGCUAAGCCACAGCAGAGAGCAUAUUACUAUUACUAUUAUUAUUAUUUGUCUUUUUGCCUUUUCUAGGGCCGCUUCUUGAGGCAUAUGGAGGUUCCCAGGCUAGGGGUCUCAUCGGAACUGUAGCCACCGGCCUACGCCAGAGCCACGGCAACGCCAGAUCCGAGCUAUGUCUGCAACCUACACCAUAGCUCACGGCAAUGCUGGAUCCUUAACCCACUGAGCAAGGCCAGGGAUCGAACCCACAACCUCAUGGUUCCUAGUCAGAUUCAUUUCUGCUACACCAUGACGGAAACUCUUGUAUUUAUGUCACUGACGAAGCCUUUUUAUGUCCCUCCGGGAGCACCUACUGUUUUCGAGAACAAAGGUUCUCAAAGUGUGGUCCCUAGAAGAGCAGCAUCAGCAACUACUCAGCACCCCCACCCCCACCCAUCUAUUCAGUAACUCAAGGUGGAGCCAGGAAUCUGUAUCUUAACAAGUUUUCCAGGUGCUUCUGAUGCAAACAGAAGUCCAGAAUCACUGAGCUAGAAAGUACUUUGGAAAAGACUGAUUCAUGUUCAUAGCUGGAAAAGACUCUUUGUUAAGGGAUGCAUUCAGUCAUCCACGUGAAUGCUGACGUCAUGUAGUACAACUGCAGAAAUUGAAAUGCAGAAGAAAAUAUAUGUCCAAUAGUCCUGUGCACAUGAAGAUUGCAAAAUUUUAUCCUCACUUAACGACUCCGUCACAUCAAAAUAUUAAUAAAAAUGACUUUGGAGUGCCCAUCCCUCUGGAUCACUCACACUGUUAUGUCUGUUAGCAGGAGCCAGAGCAGAAUCCUCACCAUUGUACUUUGCCAAGUUGUGGGGGGGAGAGGGAAAGAAAGAAAUGGACUUGAAAUUUAUUUCCCUCCCUCCCUUCCAUCCUUUGACAGAGGUACCAAAGAGUAAUUAUGGGGUCCAAAAGGGAGACAACAAGUGAAAGGAAAAUGAGAAGAUAGAUCAUAUAGAAACCAGGUCAUCACCCCAAAACAGACCCUAAGUAUAUGUAUUAUAUGCGUGGCUAUAUAAAUUUAUAUUUAUUGAUUGAUUUUUAGGGCCGCACCCAUGACAUAUAGAAGUUCUCAGGCUAGGGGUCGAAUUGGAGAUACAGCUGUCAGCCUACACCACAGCCACAGCAAUGCCAGCUCCUUAACCCACGGAGCAAGGGCAAGGAUCAAACCUGCACCCUCAUGGAUACUAGCUGGAUUCAUUUCCACUGUACCACAAUGGGAACUCCCUAAAUUUAUAUUUAAAAACUGAUUUUAAAAGAAAUUAUUUGCAAAGAGCUUUAGAAAUUGAUUGGCUCAGAAGCACUCUGUGAACUUCCCUGAUAAAUGGUUGUUUCAUUAAUAGAGAAAGUUAUCAAAUGGUAUGAUUUUCAAGUGAUUAAAAAAUGUACCUGCCAUACUCCUUAGCAGAAUAAUUUGGAAACAUGUUUACCAUGUACUUAAAGUUUACAGAAGGGCUGUCAAAAAUAACUGGAAUAUGUGGAUGCUUCAACUGCAUAAUGAAAAAAAAAAUCUAUUACUUUGAAAGGAAUCUGGGUGCUUCUUUUCAAAAGAAAAAUUUGAAUCUAAGUCUAAAUCUAAAAAUGUACUUGACUCAAUUUUUUUAAGAGAGAAAAAGAAACAAAGAAGACCCUUCAACAAUUAUGCAGAACUGAAUGAUUGAGCUUUUAAGAGUGCUUUAGCUAGAAAUAUGCUUAGUUUCUAAUGCAUUUAGACAUAAAGACAUAUCAGAAAUGAAAGAAUCACAUUGUGCAAAGAUUUGCAUGAGCACAAAGGCUUAUUUGGAAGAAAAAUGUGAUUAAAAAAAAUGCCCUUGAUUUCUUAAGGUGGAAGUUGUAGAAUUUCUAUUUUGUUUUUCAUUCCCUCAGCCCUAGUUCACUGCCCAGAAAUAUACAUGACUUGCAGGUCCUGUAUGUAGCUCCAUUGAUCAUGAACUAUGUGACUCUUCCUACUAAGGAGAUGAGCAAACAUUGGAGGUAAGUCUAGAACCUAGAGCUAGUUUGACUUGUGCAAACAGAAUGGUCCACCUCUCAGAUACUUUGGAUUUUUGAAAUACAGUUUUGUUAGCCAGUGAGGAAGCCUUCAUUCUAAAACUUUAGCCUUCAUUGAAAGAGUUGUCUGUUCUUCCAAAUCUCAUGUAGUAGGGCAUCUGGCAGAAAAUAGAGUCCAAAGCCAUCAGAUUCUGGACUCUAAAACUUGCUUUCCAUCCCAGACUUGGAUGGUUUUUCUGAUCAGGAAGAGGCUGAGUUAGUUCACAUGGCAGGUGAAUUUCUUUGACCACUGUGAGUUCCUGGAACUUGUAGGCAAAAGAACUGUGCUAAGAACUGGCCCUCAGGUAAGAGAGGAAGGCUAUUUAGCAAAGCACCUGGAUCUUUCUGCCUCCUCAUAAAAGCAUGAAGAUGACUCUCAGGAGAGGAAAGCAGUGCUCAACAGGAAUGGGACCAAACCCAAUCUUUACAGGCCAGUCCUCAUUUCUGAAAAUGGUUCCAUGGAUAUAAAUCUCUAAGGGCGCUGAUGGAAAAUUUAAAGGGUAAGACAUUUCACAUGUUCCCACGUGCCUCAUCUUAUACAAUGGAACAUAAUCCCAUCUAUUUUCAUCGUUGAUUUCUCUUAGCUCUACAUCACUGUGGCAGUUACAGUGGGACUGGCCAUUUAGUGCUUAAAUACAGUCUCACCAUUAAUUUAUUUUUCUGUGUUUCUUACAGAGUGGGGCACAGAAUAAACUUUUUUUUUCUUCAUUUGAUAAGAUGGGGAAAGUAAUAGCAUCCACCUUCUAGAGUGGUUGAGAGGAUGAGAGGGGUUAACAUACGUGAAGUUCCUAGCACAAGGAAAGGGCUCAUUAACUAUUAGCUAUUAGUAACAAUCAUCAUUAGUAAGACAGUAGUGCCCCGAAGCUCGGAACACAGACGUUGAAGCCUGAGUGCAUCAUUCAAAUCCUUCUCAAAAAUAGGGAUAUAUCGGGACUUCCCUUUGUGGCUCUGCGGUUAACAAACCCGACUAGGAUCCAUGAGGAUGCGGGUUCGAUCCCUGGUCUUGCUCAGUGGAUUAAGGAUCCGGCGUUGCCUUGAGCUGUGGUGUAGGUCACAGAUGCGGCUCGGAUCCUGAUUGGCUGUGGCUGUGGCACAGGCCGGCAGCUGCAACUCGGAUUCAGCCCUUGGCCUUGGAACUUCCAUGUGCUUUGGAUGUGGCCCUUAAAAAAAAAAAAUGGAGAUAUUGAAGAAAAACAGCCUGGGACAUAAAAGCAUUGUCCUGGUGUUACAUAGUUAAUUCUUACCACAACCUUCUGAGUACCUUUAUUUGUAUAGAUAAUGAAGCCAAGGUCGAGAGCCUCACGGCUAUCAGCGGGUCCACAGUUCUGAGCAACCUGAAGACCGAAGCCUAUUUCACUAGCGCACUAGGGUCUUUAGUUGUGCAGGACACUUCCAUUGGGGGAGGCACAUGUCUCCCUACGUGGGUUAUCGCCUUUUCUAGAAUUCCUGACGACUACCUGGCAACUCCAGAUGCUCUCAACCCACAGCAUGUGGUAGCAGCCCAGAUGCUGAGGCUGACAGCACUCCCUUCUGUGGAUUUGCUCUGAGAAAACAGAAUAGAGUUCAGAUUCAUCUCUGGGAAAGAGGCAGUGAGCUGAUUCUAAAAGUCCUGCCUGUGUUCUCUCCCCUGCGGGUCCCACAGCACAAGGGGAAAGGGGUGACUCCGAGGUGUGGAUUCUUCCAGCUGCCCUGCUGAGCCUCAGAUAUUCCUGCCAAGGAGCCAGGGGAGGUUUUUAAAGUUGGCCCAGACAUCCUUUUCUACAGAGGGUGGGGCAAGGGUGAGAAACUAAGAGCAAGACCAGAGGCUAUUCAGAGAAUUGGCUUGUGACUGGGUACCGCUGCCAUCUGCUGGAUGGAAUGGGUAUCAGACCAGUUCUGCUGUUUGCUGCACAAUGAACAGACUCGCUGAUUUUCACUGUGGGUUCAGAACCUAGUGGUUUCAUCAUUUCACAGUUUCAUCAGUUCUAAACGUCUGCAUAUUUGGGAAGUUUCAUGACAAUCACACAUAGAAGGACCUUCAUGUGAGUCACCAAAAGGUAAACUGAUGACGUCUUUGAAGCAUUGUCUUGUUCAGCAUUAAUACUUCUCUGGAUCCAAUUUGGUCUGUUCCCAAGUGGCUGAUCUAAUUGGUCAGGAAAGGCC
rnacentral:lncRNA from 1 species